AGUAACGCGUGAGUAACCUGCCUUUCAGAGGGGGAUAACGUUCUGAAAAGAACGCUAAUACCGCAUGAGACUACAGAGCUGCAUGGCUCAGUGGUCAAGGAGCAAUCCGCUGAAAGAUGGACUCGCGUCCGAUUAGAUAGUAGGCGGGUAACGGCCCACCUAGUCGACGAUCGGUAGCCGGACUGAGAGGUUGAACGGCCACAUUGGACUGAGACACGGCCCAGACUCCUACGGGAGGCAGCAUG
rnacentral:rRNA from 1 species